rnacentral:rRNA from 1 species
CCCUUAGAUGUUCUGGGCCGCACGCGUGCUACACUGAGUGGAUCAGCGGGUCAGGUUGCGCGAAAGUGUUUCCUAAUCUUGAAAUCCGCUCGUGAUGGGGAUUGACGGUUGCAACUUUCCGUCAUGAACGAGGAAUACCUUGUAAGCGCGGGUCAUCAUCCCGCGCUGAAUACGUCCCUGCCCUUUGUACACACCGCCCGUCGCUCCUACCGAUUGAGUGGUCCGGUGAGGCUUUGGGAUCUGAGCAAAGAGAGCGUUUCGCUCGUUUUGCCCGGAAAACUCAGUCGAACCUUAUCAUUUAGAGGAAGGAGAAGUCGUAACA